AUUGAACGCUGGCGGCAGGCCUAACACAUGCAAGUCGAGCGAGCGGCGGACGGGUGAGUCAUGUCUGGGAAACUGCCUGAUGGAGGGGGAUAACUACUGGAAACGGUAGCUCAUACCGCAUACCCUCAGAUGUGCGCAGAUGGGAUUAGCUAGUAGGUGGGGUAACGGCUCACCUAGGCGACGAUCCCUAGCUGGUCUGAGAGGAUGACCAGCCACACUGGAACUGAGACACGGUCCAGACUCCUACGGGAGGCAGCAGUGGGGAAUAUUGCACAAUGGGCGCAAGCCUGAUGCAGCCAUGCCGCGUGUGUGAAGAAGGCCUUCGGGUUGUAAAGCACUUUCAGCGGGGAGGCGUUACCCGCAGAAGAAGCACCGGCUAACUCCGUGCCAGCAGCCGCGGUAAUUC
rnacentral:rRNA from 1 species